AGUGGGAUUCCUAGAGUGAAUGCCUUUGUAAAUGUAGGAGGGCCCUUUCUAAUGCAGCCCCCAUGAAUUCCUCACUCUCAAGCAAUUCUACACUCAGUCUGAAGCAAUUUAUAAAACAACCAUCUGAAUAUUCCUACCAGCUUAAGGAUUCCGGUGGCUUCUGCUCUAGAUGGAAAAUGCAGUCUAAAGAGAUGAGGGGACUUCUCCUGUGUCAUGCAUGUGGAUAUAAGCAGAGUAAAGCCUAGAUGGUGGGCAUUUCCAGAUUGGAUUUGUCUGGCAUGGAAUUCAGAAAGAAGACUAACUCUGAGAAGUAGAAAGUGAUGAAAAUGUAUGUUAUGUCGAUCAAAUUAGUGCAUGAGUCCUGGAGGCAUGAAUGCAAGAAAGAACGGAGUCUUUUCUCAGUAAUGCUCUAAAGGUCUUUGUGAGCCAUACUGAAGUGGCCAAAUUAAAGAACAGCACCCACUAAAAAACAGCACCCAUUUAGCAUGAAGAACAGGCCACCCACUGAAGAUGAAAAGGAUGAGAGGAGAUUCUUUUCUGGAACCAGGAAGAAUGGAGGGUAGAGACUAAUGAGGGUCAAAGAGUGAGA
rnacentral:lncRNA from 10 species